rnacentral:tRNA from 2 species
GGUGAGAUGGGUGAGCGGUUUAAACCACCAGUUUGCUAAACUGACGUACGGGAAACUGUACCGAGGGUUCGAAUCCCUCUCUCACCG